rnacentral:rRNA from 1 species
GACGAACGCUGGCGGCGUGCUUAACACAUGCAAGUCGAACGGUGAAGCGCCUUCCUUUUUGGUGGGUGUGGAUGAGUGGCGAACGGGUGAGUAACACGUGGGUAACCUGCCCCCUUCUUCUGGAUAACCGCAUGAAAGUGUGGCUAAUACGGGAUAUUCUGGGUCUGUCGCAUGAUGGGUCUGGGAAAGAUAUUGUUUCGGUGGGGGAUGGGCUCGCGGCCUAUCAGCUUGUUGGUGGGGUGAUGGCCUACCAAGGCGGUGACGGGUAGCCGGCCUGAGAGGGUGGACGGUCACACUGGGACUGAGACACGGCCCAGACUCCUACGGGAGGCAGCAGUGGGGAAUAGUGCACAAUGGGCGCAAGCCUGAUGCAGCGACGCCGCGUGAGGGAUGGAGGCCUUCGGGUUGUGAACCUCUUUCGCCAGUGAAGCAGGCCUGCCUCGUUUGUGGGUGGGUUGACGGUAGCUGGAGAAGAAGCGCCGGCUAACUACGUG